CUGAAUAGGGCGCAUAAGUAACAGGUCGUAGACCCGAAACCAGGUGAUCUACCCAUGUCCAGGAUGAAGGUAAGGUAAUACUUACUGGAGGUCCGAACCCACGCACGUUGAAAAGUGCGGGGAUGAGGUGUGGGUAGCGGAGAAAUUCCAAUCGAACUUGGAGAUAGCUGGUUCUCUCCGAAAUAGCUUUAGGGCUAGCCUCGAGGUAAAGAGUCAUGGAGGUAGAGCACUGUUUGGACUAGGGGCCCUUCUCGGGUUACCGAAUUCAGAUAAACUCCGAAUGCCAUGUACUUAUACUCGGGAGUCAGACUGCGAGUGAUAAGAUCCGUAGUCGAAAGGGAAACAGCCCAGACCACCAGUUAAGGUCCCCAAAUAUAUGUUAAGUGGAAAAGGAUGUGGGGUUGCUUAGACAACCAGGAUGUUGGCUUAGAAGCAGCCACCAUUGAAAGAGUGCGUAAUAGCUCACUGGUCGAGUGACCCCGCGCCGAAAAUGUACCGGGGCUAAACAUAUUACCGAAACUGUGGAUGAACCUCUUUAGAGGUUCGUGGUAGGAGAGCGUUCUAAGGGCGGUGAAGUCAGACCGGAAGGACUGGUGGAGCGCUUAGAAGUGAGAAUGCCGGUAUGAGUAGCGAAAGAAGGGUGAGAAUCCCUUCCACCGAAUAUCUAAGGUUUCCUGAGGAAGGCUCGUCCGCUCAGGGUUAGUCGGGACCUAAGCCGAGGCCGAUAGGCGUAGGCGAUGGACAACAGGUAGAGAUUCCUGUACCAGUGCUAAUUGUUUAACCGAUGGGGUGACACAGAAGGAUAGGGAAUCGCACGAAUGGAAAUGUGCGUCCAAGCAGUGAGUGUGAGAAGUAGGCAAAUCCGCUUCUCGCGAAGCAUGAGCUGUGAUGGGGAAGGAAAUUAAGUACGGAAGUUCCUGAUUUCACGCUGUCAAGAAAAGCCUCUAGGAAGAGUAGUACUGCCCGUACCGCAAACCGACACAGGUAGAUGAGGAGAGAAUCCUAAGGUGAGCGAGAGAACUCUCGUUAAGGAACUCGGCAAAAUGACCCCGUAACUUCGGGAGAAGGGGUGCUCUAUUAGGGUGCAAGCCCGAGAGAGCCGCAGUGAAUAGGCCCAGGCGACUGUUUAGCAAAAACACAGGUCUCUGCAAAACCGUAAGGUGACGUAUAGGGGCUGACGCCUGCCCGGUGCUGGAAGGUUAAGAGGAGUGCUUAGCUUCGGCGAAGGUACGAAUUGAAGCCCCAGUAAACGGCGGCCGUAACUAUAACGGUCCUAAGGUAGCGAAAUUCCUUGUCGGGUAAGUUCCGACCCGCACGAAAGGCGCAACGAUCUGGGCACUGUCUCAACGAGAGACUCGGUGAAAUUAUAGUACCUGUGAAGAUGCAGGUUACCCGCGACAGGACGGAAAGACCCCGUGGAGCUUUACUGCAACCUGAUAUGGAAUGUUUGUACCGCUUGUACAGGAUAGGUAGGAGCCGAAGAGACGUGUGCGCUAGCAUACGAGGAGGCAAUGGUGGGAUACUACCCUGGCUGUAUGACCAUUCUAACCCGCCACGCUUAGCGCGUGGGGAGACAGUGUCAGGUGGGCAGUUUGACUGGGGCGGUCGCCUCCUAAAGAGUAACGGAGGCGCCCAAAGGUUCCCUCAGAAUGGAUGGAAAUCAUUCGCAGAGUGUAAAGGCACAAGGGAGCUUGACUGCGAGACUGACAAGUCGAGCAGGGACGAAAGUCGGGCUUAGUGAUCCGGUGGUUCCGCAUGGAAGGGCCAUCGCUCAACGGAUAAAAGCUACCCCGGGGAUAACAGGCUUAUCUCCCCCAAGAGUCCACAUCGACGGGGAGGUUUGGCACCUCGAUGUCGGCUCGUCGCAUCCUGGGGCUGUAGUCGGUCCCAAGGGUUGGGCUGUUCGCCCAUUAAAGCGGCACGCGAGCUGGGUUCAGAACGUCGUGAGACAGUUCGGUCCCUAUCCGUCGCGGGCGCAGGAAAUUUGAGAGGAGCUGUCCUUAGUACGAGAGGACCGGGAUGGACACACCGCUGGUGUACCAGUUGUUCCGCCAGGAGCAUCGCUGGGUAGCUAUGUGUGGCAGGGAUAAACGCUGAAAGCAUCUAAGCGUGAAGCCCCCCUCAAGAUGAGAUUUCCCAUUUCUUCGGAAAGUAAGAUCCCUGAAAGAUGAUCAGGUAGAUAGGUUUGGAGUGGAAGUGUAGUGAUACAUGGAGCGGACAAAUACUAAUCGAUCGAGGACUUAACCAAAA
rnacentral:rRNA from 1 species